GAAUACUUUUGCAGUACCUCGCAAUACUUUGCGUCUCACAAUAUGUUUUGAAUUCCCUCACAAUACUUUUGCGUUACCUAGCAAUACCUAUCUUCUUCCGUUACUUCUGAGCCAUAGCUGUCAUUUUGGCUCAGGCAGCUGCUCCCAGCUCCUUUUAGGUGCCCUGACGUGAAGUUACAUGAGCUGUGUACGGACAGGUGGUCCAUUUCAGACAUGGAGGAGGACAUUGAGGACUUCCUUAAGUCAAGGAAUGUUGCAGAAGAAGAUAUAAACUGAAUGAAAAUGGACAAGAUGAAGAAAGGGCAAAAUAUAUCUCUUCAUAUGGCAACCGCUUGGCAGGAGGGAAGGAAAUACUGACUAAGAAGCAGUUUUAGAUUUGCCAAAAGAUUGCCACAAGACGGAUGAAAAAGGCUGGGUCUCUUGGAGAACCAAGUCGAACCUCUGCUGUGCAGAAUGUUGGUGUAAUGGCAAGACAUAAAAAUUGUAAUGCUAAAAAAAGCACACAGAGGAUAGAGGUUGGGUGGCUGCAUUUCCAAAUGAUGACUUUCAUCAAGUGAGGUCCAAGAAUGGAGGAGGAACUAGGCAUCUGUCUCAGAUUCCUCAGAUGACAGUGAGAUGUACGAAAAGCAUCCCAAAAAACUCAGACGACCUGAUCAACAGAUCCAACUUUGGAUUCCCGCACUGCCACCCCAAGCAGCAGAACACUCAAGUCCAGUGCAACACUCGAUAGCAGAUGAUCUUGCAUCGUUGAGUCCAGUUCAGCAUGUCACACCCAUGUGCAACACAGGGAGUUAUUAUGACAAACUUCAACAGAGAUUUGGCUGAAGAUGGUGUUGAUGACCUUCCUACAACUCUUCUAUGGACAGAAGACCAUUCUGAUGAGACUGGUGCACAACCCCCAGAAGUAUAUGUGGUAAUAGAUUUUUGGUUAUAUUUAAAGUCUAACCUUAUUUGUAGCAUCAUAUAGGUUCAUGUUUUUGUUUUGUUUGUUUUCAUUCCCAUUUUAUAUUCAUGUAAUAUUUCCGCAAAGCCACCAAAUAAGCUCUCAUCGCUCUCAAGCUCAUCGUUACGUAUGUCCGUAUUCAUAUUUCUUUGCUGGACUUUGACAUGACAUAUCUUGAUAUACACAGAUCCAAACAUUGACACAAUG